UAGGGAAUCUUCCACAAUGGGCGAAAGCCUGAUGGAGCAACGCCGCGUGUGUGAUGAAGGGUUUCGGCUCGUAAAACACUGUUGUAAGAGAAGAAUGACAUUGAGAGUAACUGUUCAAUGUGUGACGGUAUCUUACCAGAAAGGGACGGCUAACUACGCGCCAG
rnacentral:rRNA from 1 species